rnacentral:rRNA from 1 species
AACGAACGCUGGCGGCAUGCCUAACACAUGCCAGUCGAACGAGACCUUCGGGUCUAGUGGCGCACGGGUGCGUAACGCGUGGGAAUCUGCCCUUGGGUUCGGAAUAACAGUUGGAAACGACUGCUAAUACCGGAUGAUGACGUAAGUCCAAAGAUUUAUCGCCCAAGGAUGAGCCCGCGUAGGAUUAGCUAGUUGGUGAGGUAAAGGCUCACCAAGGCGACGAUCCUUAGCUGGUCUGAGAGGAUGGUCAGCCACACUGGGACUGGGACACGGCCCAGACUCCUACGGGAGGCAGCAGUGGGGAAUAUUGGACAAUGGGCGAAAGCCUGAUCCAGCAAUGCCGCGUGAGUGAUGAAGGCCUUAGGGUUGUAAAGCUCUUUUACCCGGGAUGAUAAUGACAUUACCGGGAGAAUAAGCACCGGCUAACUCCGUG